rnacentral:rRNA from 1 species
GACGAACCGUGCGAACGUUGUUCGGAAUCACUGGGCUUAAAGGGCGCGUAGGCGGUCGAUCAAGUCCGGGGUGAAAUCUUUCGGCUUAACCGGAAAAGUGCCUUGGAUACUGAUUGGCUGGAGGGAGGCAGGGGCAGCUGGAACUUCCGGUGGAGCGGUGAAAUGCGUUGAUAUCGGAAGGAACUCCGGUGGCGAAAGCGAGCUGCUGGUCCUCUUCUGACGCUGAGGCGCGAAAGCUAGGGGAGCAAACGGG